GGUUCCAUAGUAUAGCAGUUAGCGCAUCUGCUUUACACACAGAAAGUUCUGGGUUUGCAGCCCAGUGGAGCCA
rnacentral:tRNA from 1 species